rnacentral:rRNA from 1 species
AUUGAACGCUGGCGGCAGGCCUAACACAUGCAAGUCGAACGAGUGGCGGACGGGUGAGUAAUGUCUGGGAAACUGCCUGAUGGAGGGGGAUAACUACUGGAAACGGUAGCUAAUACCGCAUACCAUCGGAUGUGCCCAGAUGGGAUUGGCUAGUAGGUGGGGUAAAGGCUCCCCUGGGCGACGAUCGCUAGCUGGUCUGAGAGGAUGACCGGCAACACGGGAACUGGGAAAGGGUCAGGACCCCUACGGGAGGAAGAAGUGGGAAAUAUUGCAAAUUGGCGGCAGGCCUGAUGAGGCCCUGCCGCGUGUAUAAGGAAGGCCUUCGGGUUUUAAAGUAUUUUCAGCGGGGAGGCGGUACCCGAAGAGGAAGCAACGGCUAACUACGUGCCAGCAGCCGCGGUAAUAC